AAAAAAACAAAUACUGAAUUUCCGUGUCCAACAUUUGGCUGUGCGUCUCAUAUGAAAUUUUUUUUAUAAUUAGUAUUUUCAUUGUUGUUAGAUGAUAAAACAUGAUUAAUACUUUAUGAGUGACUUAUCUUUUUAUUUUUUCAUAUUUUUUUUAAAUAAGACGGACGGUCAAACGUUGGACACGGAAACUCAGGGUUUGUCUUUUU
rfam:Oryza barthii chromosome 5, whole genome shotgun sequence.